rnacentral:lncRNA from 1 species
GGAAAAGCUUUACACAGACAAGGGCUGUCUUGCUCAUUGUCGAUUCCCGGCACCGGAGGACAGUGCAGGUACCAAGAGAUCAUGUGCGGCAGGCGCUUGAUUCAUCUGAAAUGCCCACUCUUGCCCUUGGAAGCACCGAGUCCUUGGAAAGACCCCCAGAGUCCUCUUCAGUAUAUCAAAGAAGUGCCCAUCACGCGCAUCAUUAAACAUUUAUUCUGCAUGUGUCAGGAACGCAUCGAGGGAACUGUGUGUCAACAAUCUGGCUGACACCAUCAGGGUCUGAGGCCAGAGCCUCGCAGAAAGGAAGGAUAAGAUGUUUCCAUCUUAUUUACUGAGAAUCUGCCACGAACACAGCAUCGAGAAUCUCACAUCUGCCGCCCACUCAGUCCUCGACACUGCCGUCCCACUUAACAAAUCUCUGCUUCUGCACCGCCUGCUGCACCCAGUCAUCUCUAGGGUGGAGGGCUCAGGCGGCCAGAGCGUCAGGCUCAAUGCAGGGCAGUUCAGACACACAGCUCUAGAGUUUCCCACUGGCUGCACUUCCUCAGGUGAGGUACCUGGACCCAGUCCUCUCCAGCGGCUUCAUUCUCCCAAGCUCGCGGAGCUGGGAGCCCCGGACAGGAUGCAAGCCUUGGGUCUUGUAGGCUGAGACCCUGACCCCAUGCAGACCUCAUCCUGAUGCUCAGAGCAACGCCCAUCUUCCAGUCUCACCACAUCCCAGCAUAAACAUCACAGCCUGUCACUUCCCUUGAUUCUCCUCCCUGGCAAACUUCAUCCAGUGUCAGUG